UACGUAGGUGGCAAGCGUUGUCCGGAUUUAUUGGGUUUAAAGGGUGCGUAGGCGGUUUCCUAAGUCAGUUGUGAAAUACGGCAGCUUAACUGUCGAGGUGCAAUUGAUACUGGGAAACUUGAGUACUGAUGAGGUAGGCGGAAUGGACGGUGUAGCGGUGAAAUGCUUAGAUAUCGUCCAGAACACCGAUAGCGAAGGCAGCUUACUAAGGAGUAACUGACGCUGAGGCACGAAAGUGUGGGGAUCAAACAGG
rnacentral:rRNA from 1 species